rnacentral:rRNA from 1 species
GAUGAACGCUAGCUACAGGCUUAACACAUGCAAGUCGAGGGGAAAUGAUAUUGGAAGCUUGCUUCCGAUAGGCGUCGACCGGCGCACGGGUGAGUAACGCGUAUCCAACCUGCCCACCACUUGGGGAUAACCUUGCGAAAGUAAGACUAAUACCCAAUGAUAUCUCUAGAAGACAUCUGAAGGAGAUUAAAGAUUCAUCGGUGAUGGAUGGGGAUGCGUCUGAUUAGCUUGUUGGCGGGGUAACGGCCCACCAAGGCGACGAUCAGUAGGGGUUCUGAGAGGAAGGUCCCCCACAUUGGAACUGAGACACGGUCCAAACUCCCACGGGAGGCAGCAGUGAGGAAUAUUGGUCAAUGGGCGAGAGCCUGAACCAGCCAAGUAGCGUGCAGGAUGACGGCCCUAUGGGUUGUAAACUGCUUUUAUAAGGGAAUAAAGUGAGUCUCGUGAGACUUUUUGCAUGUACCUUAUGAAUAAGGACCGGCUAAUUCCGUGCCAGCCGCCGCCGUAA